rnacentral:rRNA from 1 species
CGGUAACAGGGAGCUUGCUCCGCUGACGAGUGGCGAACGGGUGAGUAAUGUAUCGGAACGUACCAUUGAGUGGGGGAUAACGUAGCGAAAGUUACGCUAAUACCGCAUAUUCUCUCCGGAGGAAAGCAGGGGACCGCAAGGCCUUGCGCUCUUUGAGCGGCCGAUAUCAGAUUAGCUAGUUGGUGGGGUAAAAGCUCACCAAGGCGACGAUCUGUAGCGGGUCUGAGAGGAUGAUCCGCCACACUGGAACUGAGACACGGUCCAGACUCCUACGGGAGGCAGCAGUGGGGAAUUUUGGACAAUGGGGGCAACCCUGAUCCAGCCAUGCCGCGUGAGUGAAGAAGGCCUUCGGGUUGUAAAGCUCUUUCGGCCGGGAAGAAAUCGUAUCAGCUAAUACCUGGUGCAGAUGACGGUACCGGCAUAAGAAGCACCGGCUAACUACGUGCCAGCAGCCGCGGUAAUACGUAGGGUGCGAGCGUUAAUCGGAAUUACUGGGCGUAAAGCGUGCGCAGGCGGUUUUGUAAGACAGGCGUGAAAUCCCCGGGCUCAACCUGGGAACUGCGUUUGUGACUGCAAGGCUAGAGUACGGCAGAGGGGGGUGGAAUUCCACGUGUAGCAGUGAAAUGCGUAGAGAUGUGGAGGAACACCAAUGGCGAAG